CAGAAAGUGUAAAAAGUCCUUGAGGAAACUGCGGGCUAUUUACAGGACUGAGAGAGAAGUACUCAAUCUGAUCCUUAACUUGAAAGACGUGUCUUCUGAGUUGAUGCAUAGCUUCGCGGAUGGGAGGCCAAAUUUUGAUCUGGAAUCCGUGACUCUUAAUGCUGGUACUGUGAAGGAGUUGCUAGUGGCAUUCCAUAGAUCUCUGACUUCAGUGCUUGAGGACCCUAACGUGGUGUGUGAAUCUGCUUUUUGUUCUAUGUUUUGUUUGUUACUUAACCCUGUCAAAAUGAACAUUGAUGGUGAUGUCAAUUGUACAGAAAGCUCCACAGAGGAUUGUAAUCUGCCAUCGCCACGGAAAAGCGGUGAAGGAA
rnacentral:lncRNA from 1 species